CCAGCACCGCCAAUCAGAGGAUUGAAUAUUGGUGGGGUUUUCUCCGUAGGGAGUGCGUGGAGUUCUGGUUAACUUUGUUUGCAGACCUCAGAGACAACGGUUUCUUUGAUGGUGGGUUUCUGGAUAAAGGUCUCCUUCAGUUUUGUUGCAUGGGACUCAUCCAGGAUGAGUUGGAUGACACUGCACAGGUUUGGAACACACACACCAUCAGGCCAUCGAAAAAUCCUAACGUCCCCAGCGGUCGGCCGAACGUGAUGUUUGCAGUACCUGAACUCUAUGGGACAAGAGACUUCCUUUCCCCAAUUGAAGAUGGUGAAUUUCAACUGUGCAAAAACGAAUGCAUCUUUCGCCAGACCAAACCGUGUGAUCCAGAUCUGUAUAAACUAUGCAACAUCUUUAUGGCUGAGUCCAAUCUCACCCUAGCAACAGAUCCAUAUCAGGCAGUGAACUUGUACAUGCACCUCAGAGAGGCCAUCAGGGCAUGUGUGUAGGUCAGGCGUAUUUUGUGGUCACAUAUGUAAAUAAUUCACCUUGCUGUUCUGUUCCUUUUAUAAGUUUGUGGUCACAUAUGUAAAUAAUUCACCUUGCUGUUCUUUUCCUUUUAUGAGUUUCCUUUAAAGGUCCCAUGACAUGAAAAUCUCACUUUAUGAGGUUUUCUAACAUAAAUAUGAGUUCCCCUAGCCUGCCUAUGGUCCCCCAGUGGCUAAAACUUGCAUUUGGUGUAAAACAAGCACUAGCUGUUCUGCUCGCCUUUGAAAAAAACGUUUUUGCAUCUAAGCUCCUCCCCUUACUCUGCCUGGCCCGCCCAGAGACGUUGGCCAGCCAAUGAGACGCAACCGUGUGAGCGCCACAUGUGUGUGAAUACACACACUCUAACGCAAGGGUUUCUUGUCGGUGCUUUGACGUCUCUUGUAUUUCCACAACGAGACUGUCGUGGGGGUUAUCUGAGCCAUGGUUGAGAAGGACCUGAUAGAAUAUCAUUGGAUUUCAAAUGAUGGGAC
rnacentral:lncRNA from 1 species